GGCUCAGAUUGAACGCUGGCGGCAUGCUUUACACAUGCAAGUCGAACGGUAACAGGUCUUCGGAUGCUGACGAGUGGCGAACGGGUGAGUAAUGCAUCGGAACGUGCCCAGUCGUGGGGGAUAACGUAGCGAAAGUUACGCUAAUACCGCAUACGAUCUACGGAUGAAAGCGGGGGAUCGCAAGACCUCGCGCGAUUGGAGCGGCCGAUAUCAGAUUAGGUAGUUGGUGGGGUAAAGGCUCACCAAGCCAACGAUCUGUAGCUGGUCUGAGAGGACGACCAGCCACACUGGAACUGAGACACGGUCCAGACUCCUACGGGAGGCAGCAGUGGGGAAUUUUGGACAAUGGACGCAAGUCUGAUCCAGCCAUUCCGCGUGCAGGAUGAAGGCCCUCGGGUUGUAAACUGCUUUUGUACGGAACGAAAAGGUUUCUAUUAAUACUAGGAGCUCAUGACGGUACCGUAAGAAUAAGCACCGGCUAACUACGUG
rnacentral:rRNA from 1 species